rnacentral:rRNA from 1 species
UAAUACAUGCAAGUCGAACGCUUUUUCUUUCACCGGAGCUUGCUCCACCGAAAGAAAAAGAGUGGCGAACGGGUGAGUAACACGUGGGUAACCUGCCCAUCAGAAGGGGAUAACACUUGGAAACAGGUGCUAAUACCGUAUAACACUAUUUUCCGCAUGGAAGAAAGUUGAAAGGCGCUUUUGCGUCACUGAUGGAUGGACCCGCGGUGCAUUAGCUAGUUGGUGAGGUAACGGCUCACCAAGGCAACGAUGCAUAGCCGACCUGAGAGGGUGAUCGGCCACACUGGGACUGAGACACGGCCCAGACUCCUACGGGAGGCAGCAGUAGGGAAUCUUCGGCAAUGGACGAAAGUCUGACCGAGCAACGCCGCGUGAGUGAAGAAGGUUUUCGGAUCGUAAAACUCUGUUGUUAGAGAAGAACAAGGAU